GACGAACGCUGGCGGCGUGCUUAACACAUGCAAGUCGAACGGAAAGGCCUCUUUCGGGGGGUACUCGAGUGGCGAACGGGUGAAUAACACGUGAGUAACCUGCCCUUGACUUUGGGAUAACUUCAGGAAACUGGGGCUAAUACCGGAUAGGAGCUCCUGCUGCAUGGUGGGGGUUGGAAAGUUUCGGCGGUUGGGGAUGGACUCGCGGCUUAUCAGCUUGUUGGUGGGGUAGUGGCUUACCAAGGCUUUGACGGGUAGCCGGCCUGAGAGGGUGACCGGCCACAUUGGGACUGAGAUACGGCCCAGACUCCUACGGGAGGCAGCAGUGGGGAAUAUUGCACAAUGGGUGGAAGCCUGAUGCAGCAACGCCGUGUGCGGGAUGACGGCCUUCGGGUUGUAAACCGCUUUCGCUCAUGACGAAGCUUUGUGUGACGGUAGUGGGUAAAGAAGCACCGGCUAACUACGUG
rnacentral:rRNA from 1 species